rnacentral:rRNA from 1 species
UACGGAGGGCUCAAGCGUUGUUCGGAUUCAUUGGGCGUAAAGGGUGCGUAGGUGGCCUGGUAAGUCGGAUGUGAAAUCCCGGGGCUCAACCCCGGAACUGCAUUCGAUACUGCUGCGCUAGAGUACUGGAGAGGAGAUUGGAAUUUACGGUGUAGCAGUGAAAUGCGUAGAUAUCGUAAGGAAGACCAGUGGCGAAGGCGGAUCUCUGGACAGUUACUGACACUGAGGCACGAAGGCCAGGGGAGCAAACGGG